rnacentral:rRNA from 1 species
UACGGGGGGCGGAAGCAGUUGUUCGGUGAAUUACUGGGCGUAAAGGGUUCGUAGGUGGCUCGCUAAGUCAGACGUGAAAUCCCUCAGCUUAACUGGGGAACUGCGUCUGAGACUGAUGAGCUUGAGUGCAGGAGAGGAACGCGGAAUUCCAGGUGUAGCGGUGAAAUGCGUAGAUAUCUGGAGGAACACCGGUGGCGAAGGCGGCGUUCUGGACUGCAACUGACACUGAGGAACGAAAGCCAGGGGAGCAAACGGG